GAUGAACGCUGGCGGCGUGCUUAACACAUGCAAGUCGAACGGAAAGGCCCAAUCUUGCUUGGUUACUCGAGUGGUGAGCGGGAGAGUAACACAAGGGGGAUGUGCCCUGCACUUCGGGAUAAGCCUAGCAAACUAGGGCUUAUACCAGAUAGGACGAUUGUUUGGAUGCCAUUGUGGAAAGUUUUUUAGGUGUGGGAUGAGCUCGCGGCCGAUCAGCUUGUUGGUGGGGUACUGGCCUACCAAGGCGUCGACGUGUAGCCGGCCUGAGAGGGUGUACGGCCAAAUUCGGACUGAGGUACGGCACAGAAUCCUACGGGAUGCAGCAGUGGGGAAGAAGGCACAAUGCGCGGAAGCCUGAUGCAGCGACGCCGCGUGCGGGAUGACAGCCUUCUGCUUGUAAGCUGCUAUCGCUAGGCACGAAGCGUUUUUGUGACGGUACCUGGAGAAGAAGCGCCGGCUAACUACGUG
rnacentral:rRNA from 1 species